AUACUUACCUGGCAGGGGAAAUACCAUGAUCACAAAGGUGGUUUUCCCCAGGCAAGUCUUAUCCAUUAUAUUCCAAUUGUGCUGACCCCUGCAAUUUCUCCAAAUGUGGGGAACUUGACUGCAUAAUGUAGUGGGGGACUGCAUUCAAAAUCUCCCCUG